GAUGAACGCUAAGCGGGAGGCCUAACACAUGCAAGCUGAGCGGUAGAGAUCUUUCGGGAUCUUGAGAGCGGCGUACGGGUGCGGAAACACGUGUGCAACCUGCCUUUAUCAGGGGGAUAGCCUUUCGAAAGGAAGAUUAAUACCCCAUAAUAUAAUGAGUGGCAUUCACUUAUUAUUGAAAACUCCGGUGGAUAGAGAUG
rnacentral:rRNA from 1 species